UACGAGGGGGGCAAAUGUUGUUCGGAAUCACUGGGCGUAAAGGGAGCGUAGGCGGGCUCUUAAGUUAGGUGUUUAAUCCCGGGGCCCAACCCCGGACCGGCACUUAAAACUGGGAAUCUUGAAUAGUGGAGAGGUCAGUGGAAUUGGGGGUGUAGCGGUGGAAUGCGUAGAGAUCCCCAAGAACACCAGUUGCGAAGGCGGCUGACUGGACACAUAUUGACGCUGAGGCUCGAAAGCAUGGGGAGCAAACAGG
rnacentral:rRNA from 1 species